GCCAGGUGUGGUGGUGCACGCCUGUAGUCCCAGCUCCUUGGGAGGCUGAGGCAGGAGGAUUGCUUGAGCCUAGGAGUUCAAGGCUGCAGUGAGCUAUGAUUGCACCACUGCACUCCAGCCUGGGCGACAGAGCAAGAACCUAUCUCUA
rnacentral:SRP_RNA from 1 species